rnacentral:rRNA from 1 species
AAACAUGAGAGUUUGAUCCUGGCUCAGGAUGAACGCUGGCGGCGUGCCUAACACAUGCAAGUCGAACGGAGUUAUGCUGAAACCAGGCGGUGCUUGCACUGCCUUGUGAUGAAUAACUUAGUGGCGGACGGGUGAGUAACGCGUGGGCAACCUGCCCCACACAGGGGGAUAACACUUAGAAAUAGGUGCUAAUACCGCAUAAGCGCACAGCUUCGCAUGAAGCAGUGUGAAAAGCUGCGGCGGUGUGGGAUGGGCCCGCGUCUGAUUAGCUUGUUGGCGGGGCAGCGGCCCACCAAGGCGACGAUCAGUAGCCGGCCUGAGAGGGCGGACGGCCACAUUGGGACUGAGACACGGCCCAGACUC